UAGGGGGCAAGCGUUAUCCGGAUUUACUGGGUGUAAAGGGAGCGUAGACGGCGGUGCAAGUCAGAAGUGAAAGCCCGGGGCGCAACCCCGGGACUGCUUUUGAAACUGUAUGGCUGGAGUGCAGGAGAGGUAAGCGGAAUUCCUGGUGUAGCGGUGAAAUGCGUAGAUAUCAGGAGGAACACCGGUGGCGAAGGCGGCUUACUGGACUGUAACUGACGUUGAGGCUCGAAAGCGUGGGGAGCAAA
rnacentral:rRNA from 1 species